UACGUAGGGGGCAAGCGUUGUCCGGAAUUAUUGGGCGUAAAGAGCGUGUAGGCGGCCAGAUAAGUCCGCUGUGAAAUCUCGAGGCUCAACUUCGAGCUGUCGGUGGAAACUAUCUGGCUAGAGUCCGGAAGAGGAGAAUGGAAUUCCUGGUGUAGCGGUGAAAUGCGCAGAUAUCAGGAAGAACACCCGUGGCGAAGGCGGUUCUCUGGGACGGUACUGACGCUGAGAUGCGAAAGCGUGGGGAGCGAACAGG
rnacentral:rRNA from 1 species